rnacentral:ncRNA from 1 species
AGUUGGUGGAGUGAUUUGUCUGCUUAAUUGCGAUAACGAACGAGACCUUAACCUACUAAAUAGUGGUGCUAGCAUUUGCUGGUUAUCCACUUCUUAGAGGGACUAUCGGUUUCAAGCCGAUGGAAGUUUGAGGCAAUAACAGGUCUGUGAUGCCCUUAGACGUUCUGGGCCGCACGCGCGCUACACUGACGGAGCCAGCGAGUCUAACCUUGGCCGAGAGGUCUUGGUAAUCUUGUGAAACUCCGUCGUGCUGGGGAUAGAGCAUUGUAAUUAUUGCUCUUCAACGAGGAAUUCCUAGUAAGCGCAAGUCAUCAGCUUGCGUUGAUUACGUCCCUGCCCUUUGUACACACCGCCCGUCGCUAGUACCGAUUGAAUGGCUUAGUGAGGCCUCAGGAUCUGCUUAGAGAAGGGGGCAACUCCAUCUCAGAGCGGAGAAUUUGGACAAACUUGGUCAUUUAGAGGAACUAAAAGUCGUAACAAGGUUUCCGUAGGUGAACCUGCGGAAGGAUCAUUA